GAGAUCAGAAGGUCUCCCCCCAGCUCCUGUUCUCCAGCUGAACGCCCCAGGUCCCUCAGCCGCUCCCAUCACACUUGUGCUCCAGCCCCUCACCAGCUCCGUUCCCUUCUCUCAACUUGCUCCAGCACCUCAAGGUCAUCAAAGGAUGAAAAGGAGUUGUGGAAAUUAACUGGGUCCUAUUCAUUGUGUGAAAGAAAGAAAGAUCCACCAAGCAAGUCCUCAGCUGAAGACAGGCCUCCCCUAUUCACAUGCUCCGGUCUUCUGUAGGAUUUUUAAGUCAGUAAUUGCAAUUUGUCCAGAGUAUGAUUUUAAAUUUGGCAAUUCUUUUAUUUUCGAGAAAGUCAAGUAGUAAUGAUGAGUAUCCAUGCUGCUGCUAUCGGGAAAGAACAGGAAAAAAUCAAUAAUGAGAAGCUUAGGCUGCUGCUUCACUGCUUGUCACCUUUACUUAAAUUGUCAGUGAGGAUGGCACUUGGCAUCAAAUGGGAUGCCUAAUUAUACAGCCCAGUUUCAGCGUUUUCUCCAGGUAGAAGGGAGAGCGUGUGUCUGGGUUUCCUUACCCUGACCCAGCAGUGCCUUCCAAGCAUCUUGGCGUUCAGACCACCCUGCCUGCCACCUUACUGCUCAUUUUAAAUGAUGAUAUUAGCAGAAAUAACCCUAAUUUAGACAUAAAAUGCAAUCAAACUGAAAUUUUGACAGCUCCCGAGUAACUAAAAAGCACCUAGUGAAAUUUUCAAUAGUGCUCCGAAAAUGCAGCCCUAUGCUCUUUCAGCUACCUAUGUCUUGAAAAUCUGAGUGCUUUAAACCAACUAUAUUUAUUGCCUUUAAGCCCAGAUGUUUGACAUUUCUGAAGCUGAGAUGAGGGAGGAGACUGUUCUGCGCCCCCUGUGAGGCCAUGACCAGCUCCAGGGACAUGCUGACCACUUCAACAGUGCUAUGAUUCAUUUUUGCAUGCACCCUGUCUUCUGUCGCACCUCUCGAUCCAAAAUAAAGGCCACCAACGCAGCGUGUGCCCAUAGGGGCUUCACGCAGAGUGUAACACAGAUUAUAGAAUGUUCAGAGUCGGAAGGACCCACCAGGAUCAUGGAGUCCAACUCCUGUCCCUGCAAUGACAACCCCACAGGUCACACCGUGUGUCUGAGGACGUUGUCCAGUCUCUCCUUGAACACUGUCAGGCUGGGGCCGUGACACCUCCCUGGGGAGCCUGUUCAGUGUCCAGCACCUCUGGGUGAAGAACCUUUUCCUCAUGUCCCACUAACCCUCCCUGGCACAUCUUCUGCCAUUCCCUCUGUAACAAAGAGGACUUUCACACCUCCAUCCUCCAAAUCUGUCUCAGGUGAGUUGAACUGCUGAGCAAAGCUGCUGGGCUCGGGUGGCUCAGACAGCGGAGCGUACACUCCAACAGUGGGUAUGGUUAAGGAUUUUCAUCUAUUCUUUCACUUCUUUUAUACAGGGUGCACUGGAGCAGGUUUUCUUGCCUUGUGGCACUGCUGGCAGAAAGGGGCAGAGCACCUUUGGAUGCCCAUCUCCCCCAAAGGACACUGCUGUUCCUCUCGCACUGCCCCACCACCAGGUUCUGCUGCCACCCGCACACCCAGCCACACGUAACUACUGAGUUUGCUCACAGGUUGCACUAAACACAUGGUCAGUGCCAGGCCUCACAAGUAGAAGAAGAUGCAGCUUGCUGGACCUCCUGCUGUGGCAAACGGAAGGAUGAAAUCAAAGGUGCUCCCAGCCACAAGUGUGGACGGAUCCUCCUCUGCUGCUCCCUCUCAGGCUGCGGUCCCGGCAGGAAGGGGAAAGUACAGGGAGAUAUAUCUUCACCGGAUUCAUAAAUCGCUGUAGCUCUGUUUGCACCGUGGGGACUAUCGAAGCCCAGUGAAACGCAGAUUCCCCGUGCUCACUGUGUGAGGAAACGAACACUUUCACAUUCCCUUUUUACUCUCCUAGAUAAUAACUCUUUUGUUUUAACAAAUCUUUCACUUUCAGGGGUGAUUAGAUACUUUAUCUGAAUGAAUCCUAUUAUUUAAAGCCUUUCCUGCCUGCUUCUCAGUGUGCAUUCUGACUCAUGUACCUAUUUUCAUGUAGAGAUUAUUUAGAGAAGGUAUUUUUUUUUCCCUUUUAAAAAUAGCAGCAAGCAGGUUUUUGGACCAAACCUUAUCUGUCUGUACGGCUGGUCAUUGGUGCCCAGCUUAGCGACAAGAACGGAUGCGAAAACGCCAUCGCUAACGCUUGCUGAUGAUGUUUCACUGCUGCAGAAGAGGCUGCAAUGGAAAUAUGGAGCCUAACUAUGAUGUUCGCAGGGCUUGGAGUAUUACAAGAUGCUAAACCACAAAGAUACAGCCAAAACGCAGCAGCGCGUUGCCGCGCACCCUCAAGCUGGGAUCUGCCUGAUCGGACCAUGGGAAGGGAGGAGGCUGCAGUCACAGUUAACCAGGAGCAGCAUGCCAUGUUCUUUAAUAUAAAUACCACUAACGUAUGUGCAUAGGAUGCAUUUUCAUUGAGCUCCCCAUGUACUACACACCCACAUGCUCCAUGUGCAGCCGUUACGUCCGCCUCAUUCUCCCCGUUCAGCCCACACUCCUACUUAGUGUGGUGCUCCCUGGCCAAGGUAAUUUUUAAACUCCUUACUAAUCAUCUCCUACAGCACGAUCCUGCAUCUUCCUGACAUACCUUUCUUGAAACCAGAACGUCGAGGCUCUGCUGCAAAAAUAGCCACAUGAACCUGGAGUCAACAUCCAAAGAGAUCUAUUAAAGAAGCGGCCAGAUACAAAGAGAUCGGGGAGGGAGAAGGAACAGGAGAUGGUAAUUUGUGUUCCCCUGACUGAGGGGAUUUAUCUGCAUUUCUAGUUAAUAAAAGACAUUAAUUGAUUCACAUUUUCUAUGGCUGCACACAGCUAUUUCUGGCUGGAAGGAGACACUCUGAAAUGGAAUGAGUCAGACCAAACCUGUUAUGUCACUCUGGGACCCCGAAAGAUUUGUUAAUAGUUCUGAAAAAAUUGAGUUGCUUCACAUGGCUAUUUUCUCCUCAGACAUCAAAAGCAGAAGGAAAGUACAGUAAUUCUGAAGACUGACUACUAUUUUUUUUACAUGGUCCUUUGCGUUUGACAAGUAGCAACAGGAUAAUCAAAGAGCUUUGCUCUCUGUGAGGCACUUGCGUAGAAAUCUCGGUUGGAUUUAUCAGCCCAGCUACACGUAAUCUCCAGAGACUCAGCUCUAAGCUCAGGAGAGUCCGAGCAGGUCACAGCUCCUCAAUUCACUUCCUACAAUUUCUUCCAGAUUGACUUCACGAAGCAAAAGAUAGUGCUGAGUUUUACAGGAAGGAAAGUCUUUUUUUUUUUCUCUGAAAAAUAUAGAGAAAAACAUUGUCUUUUCACCAAACUCUUCUUCCCCACAAAGGCACCUGUUUCCUAGCCAGGAAUGAGGCUCUUUAUUCUAAAAUGAAGUUGCACUGGUGACCAAACUGUUUGAAGUUCCUUUGUGUUCAGCGGGGGUUUGAGCGGCCACUCAGGUAUCCUGUGUUCCCCUCUGGGUCAGGGUGUCCUGUGGGGUGACACCUCGAGGAGACAACGGCUGCUGUGACACACGUGGCGGCUCUGCCCAAGGACAGGAGACGAUAAAUCAUGGGGUGGAGACCAGCCAAGGGGCUGAGACGGUGGCCCAAAGUGACAAGGGACAUGUAAGGAAGCCCACCUGUGCCUCCAGCCCUCCGACAGCAUUUCCAUGGUCAGUUUGAAACCGAGCAAUACGUAUGCUUUGUUUUUCACCAGAAGACCAAAAAAUAUCUGCAGAAAAUGUUGACAAAUUGAAAGCAUUUGUCAUUUCUGCUUCUGUUUCCGUGGUGAUUAAGAAAAAACCAACCACCAGUAUUUCCAACUAAGACAACAAAGCCUCCAGCUCACAGCCGCGUCCAGUCUGUCCUGAUAUUCGCCCUUGCUCUCGCCCCCACGCUUCAAACCAGCAUAACAGUGGCAGGAGCCUGUAAACUGGGCCUCCUGCUCAUCUACAAAGCUGGAGCCUCUUUGCCCUUUUAACUACCUGGCCAGGGCUGUUCAUGACAGGAUAAAUGUCUGUAACUAGCCUCAGUCUAUUUAAAAAGUGAUAGUUAUGCUCUGUUGUCAUGUCAGUUUUUGACAGGGAAAAACCAUCACUGUCAGUGGUGAUGAUGGAACGUGCUCUCCGUUGUUUUCUCCAACCUUUUUUGUGGUGUUGACAUCUUAAACAUUUGCAGUUCCUGGACAUCAGAAGAGCCCAUCAAGGGGUUCAGCUCUGUGUUACAGAUAUGCAAAGCAGAAGCCUGGGUUUCUUCUGAACUUUCCUCCCACUGGGUGCUGAGACUAAUUUAGCAGCAUAGGGUUUGCAAAUCUACGUGCAGCCCUGGCACAAUAGCGGUAGCUGGCUUAAGGUGUGUGUGGGGGGGUAGAAGUGCAGUCAUGUUAAAAUCCUUACAGCUCUGACAAAUCUGCCUCCAGACACACUCACAUUGUCAUCUUGCUUAAGGAAAAAGCGUGCUAGAGAAAAAGGAUGGUAACUGGGCACCCUCGAAGCCUCUGCAGCCACGGAGCCUGUAGCGAUGCGGAUUUGUGAGCGCCGCUGGUCGGAUGAGCUGCUGGGUUGCAGUGUUUCAGUCCUCCCUCUCUGUACCAGAAAGAGGGUGAGGGGGUAUUUGGAGAAAACCACCUUUUUGUGAGAGUGUUGCGUGUUGACAGACACAGAGAAAGAAAUCUCAGCCUCUGAGUGCUCUGGCAUCAGCACCCCCCUAAGCCCCGGUCUCUGUAGCCUUCUGGCUCCCAAACCCGAGGUCUCCUGCUUGCACAUAGCAACCAGUCAUUUUGCUGUCUUUUUAUUCUGUAUCAGUGAAGACUUGCAUUAAAACAUCUGAGAAUCCUUAAAGACAAGAAAUUACUGUGGCAGAGCAAGGAUCAAUGCAAGGAAGAUAAAUACAACUUGUGCUAGCUGGAGCUCUUGUACUUCAGAACACAAAUCGCAAAAUGUGAUGCCAAGCUACAAAUCCAGGGUAGUCCUUCCAUAAUGCCACGUUCUUUAACUGUGACGCGCUGUGUUGUGAUUCUACAGAGUCAGCUUCAACUGACACUGAAGUUCCGAGCUUGUUUGAAGGAGCAAUGCUGCUGAAACGGUCACACCUCUCCUCCCCUUGCUCCCAUGCCUGUUCUCAAGCCACCACAGCAUCCGUGAGGACACGCGGUGAACCGGCCUGGCUUCAAAGCAGUCGGGCUUUGGUUCUGUCCAACUUGAAUUCUCUAAUCUGGCUCGUUGUGUGCUCACACUGGCGCUUGUGCCGACCCAAAGGAAGAUGCAUCGAGAGGAAGGGAAUGAAUGGGCAGUGGAAAAAGUCUCUCCCUGCUGUGGUUUUAGGGGAUGCUAUUUUAAACAACACCCAAACCCACUGGUUUUAGCUGUAAGGCUUGUACACAAAUCGUAGUUGAUAGAGAAACUCACCUGUCUUAGGAUGAGUUGAACUGCUGCAAAGAUGCCCACCCCUCACCCUGGUCCCUGGAGAGCCCACACGACCAGCUGAGACUAAAGGCCCCAUUUUUAGAUGCUAUAAAUAAGAUUAAAUGAAACCAUCUUCAUGCCCAAUGUGUGAGCCUCCAAAGCUGGUGUGAGCCUUGUAAGGCUGUGGGUGACCAGAGGAGGAUGUGAGGGGACAGGGAGCGGUGCUGGGGCCUGGCUGCCCCCCCGGCCACUGCACCGAACUCCCUCCCCGCUUUGGAGAAGUCUGGAGGCCUGACAGUGGAAACAUGGGGCCUCUCUCUGCAGGGUAACCAGUGGGGAUGGCAGAGAGGAAUGUAAUAGCCCCAUCUGCUUUAUUUCUGGUGCAUUCAGAUGCUGCAGAGCAAGGCUGUGCAUAGGCACAACCUUUGGGAAGGUCUGAGCAGCUGGAAGCUGAUGUACUCAGAGGCACAGCAGCUCUUUUUUGAGGGAUGUUAUUUGUCCUUUCAGAACAGAACUGUAAAGACUCAAACAAUCCACCCUGCUCUGGGAAACUGUCCUUUAUUCUGCUCCCCAUUGGGCACUCUGGGUUGCUGGCACAAGGUUAUUACAGAAACAUUGUCCCUGCUGGGCUCCAAACCUGCUCAUAGAGCUCCCAAGAGAAAAAAGGGACCCAUCCUCCAAGCCUUGUACCAUGAACGCUGGGACAGCGUGUUCCUCUGAGAACUGACCAGGGUCCAUGCCAUGGAGCUGGUGUGCUUGUCCCAGUGCACACCAGUACGCUAACUGGGUGACCGGUGGAGAACCUUGCAGCUCUGACCUUUAAACCUCCUGCACUAAACCCACCCGUGACCCAUCUUCACCCUCUUGUCUUUGUGCUGAUAUUGUCAUUUAGUUUACAUGUUAUUUUCCCUCUCAGCCAUUAAGCCACCACUGUGAUGAAGGAUGAUCCCAUGUCUCCCAGUCUUCCUCUUCUGGGCUAAACAAGUUAAACUCCAGUCUCAUCUUGCCUAGCAGGACAACCUCUCCCUAGAAAACCCUCCUUGAAGCACAGUUCUGUACCUGCUCCUGUAUGAAUUGAACCUCCUUGGACAGAAAGGGCAAAGAGAAGCUGCUCAAUGGCUCCUGCACCUCCUGUGGGUGAUUUCUUAUCCAGAGAGGACUAGAUAACAGCUCAAAGGCACCAUUUUUUGGUGCCUUCUUUCUGUUCCCCAGUGGAUGGCCCAUACCCAUCCUGAGGGCUGGAGGCUUCUGGCUCUGGGUCUCUGAUCAACGCAAGGACUAUGUAUUUAGCAGAAGGUGAGGGCCCUCAAACUGGAUGUAUCAGAGAGGUCUCUUUUUGGGGUAAUCAUCCAGGUAGAUGAUGGAGAAAUUAGACGUGGUUAAGAUGAAGCUCCUCUGGCCUGCUCUGGAUGUGUGGUUUGGGAUGAGCUCCACAGCAGGGCCUCUUUCUCCCCAGGCUCAACGGAGGCUGAGUAGCAAAGUCAGAUGGAGAUGUCAGAAAGAAAAGAGGAACAUCUGUUGUAACUCAUAUAUGCCUGGGAAACCCAUGUGAGCAAACAUUUAAGCACACUUCUCUCCUAGGCAGCAGUGCAAACUGGCAGGUAGUCCUAUUCCCACUCAAGCUGGUGGACCGAAAUCAUGGCUCCAUCACAAGGAUGCUGGUUCAUUGCAAAGGGUGAAGAAGAUAUUGACACUGUGAAAUAUCUGCUCGUAACUAUUAUAUGUCUGAAUUGGCAUUUGUGCAGACAUGGGGAUUCUGCUGGGAAUUGUCUCCCAAGUUAUAGUGAGUCCCCACUGCUGCAGGAUGAUAAAAAGGAUCCUGAGGAGGAGAAGUUAAUGUUGCUUAUUCUCUCUCACUUCCUUUCAAAUGCUGCUCAAGAUUUACUGGAAAAUCCACUGUCAGGUCACUGUUGCCAAAUCUGAGCUUCACCAGUACUGCUCCUCAGCCCCAGAGAUCUGGAACAGAAGGCUUUCUGGAUGAGUCUGUCCUAAAGCCUGAACAACACCUCAGCACCCUCCAGAAGGAAAAAUGUUUACUCCUUUCUGCACGAGCAAGCGACCAAGGGAGCACCCAGACACCACCACGUCAUGAGGAUAAGCCAGAGCCUGUUGGUUGGCGCAAGGGCAGACUGAGCAGGUCCCGUUUCUGACCGUCUCAUCCAUGCGGCCCAGGUCAUCCUGAGGGUGCCACAGAUCUGGAUCCCCUUUCUGGUACAGUCUGAAAGUCACCUCAGCUUGUACUGCGCUCACAACUAAUGGCACAGUCCGAGGUACCUACACUCACUGUAUCUUCUCCUCCCACUUAGUCUCCAGCUUAUUUCUAUCAAACUGCCCUCCUGAUUUAUGUGUCAUGUUUGAUCCAUGUUCCAGUCCUGUUUCUGCCUUUCCUUCCCCAACUUCAAGUUAAGACAGUCAUCCCAAUUAAUUUGAUGGCUUUCUUGGGAAAUACUGGUGGAGGAAAAGGCUUUGAAAAUGGUAAAAAUUCUCUCUGUGAUGAUUGCCAUCCUCAGUUCAGUGUCUCUUGUGCACUUCCUCCUAAAUAUUUCAGGGUACUUCCGUCUUAUCUGCAUAUGAAAGAGAAGUCAGCAGAUCUGAAAGGCUUGUUUAGAAAAUCCAACUGCAGAUAUCUGUUUUGUUUUCACUGGCUCUAUACAAACCCUUAUUCACAUCCAAGGGGUGAAAGCUCUGUAACGAGCAUGAUGAUGACAGUGUACAGCAUCCCUGGCACCGGCAGGAAGGGCUCUCCUCGGUGGCAUGGUGGAGGGAGACGCGUGGCGUGGACACGCUGUGCCUGUGGCCACUGCCUGGCUCCCUGUCCCUGCUCUUGCACACAAAGAGUUUCAAAGGAUCGUCAGCCACUUCGGGGAUCUUGAGAAAUAAGUCACGAAGCUCAAGAUCUUCCAGAAGGCUUGUUUUGUAACUGAAGGAACGGCAGGGAAACAGGAAGGUAAGGUCUCAAUGCAGUGCACUUGAGCAUGUAAUUCUGUGAAUGGAUGAAACAAAAUGCCACCGUACACGCGUCUGCACUGCACGCGAGGGAGGCUGCGGGGAUCACAGACACCUCGCCAGGGGCAGAAAAAGCCACUGGAACAUGGGGCACAAUCAUUUUGCACAACCUCUUCCUAUCACUCACCAAAAGGCAAGUGAGAAUCAAUGAUACUUGACACUGGCUGUUGCCCCGAUGAGCCAGGGGAGGAUGUGUCAGUGCCACUGAGAUCUGGAGUCACGGGGCUACAUGCAUGUUUAUGUGGCAGAUGCUGUGUCAGGAUGUACUACAAGACACAGAAGGGGCCUGGAAGCUGCCAAGCUACUGACAGGACCUUUCUCACUCUCUGCUUUGCUUUUGGAGGGCAGGGGUGGGCAGGCAGCAGCCUGGUACACUGGCUACCGUGCCCCCCGUGAGAGAAUUCAUUUGCAGCAGGCAGGGAUCAGAGCCUGCACAGCGCUUAAACAUUUGAGAGAGAGACAAACAGUGCGGCUGAUGCAAGACAAAGUGCUGUGUCCUUGUGGGCUAAAAUCACUCUAACUUCUGUUGCACCUCUCAGUCCAAAACAAAGGCCAGCAACGCAGCGUGUGCCCUUAGCAGGUUUCACGCAGAAUGUAACCACCAGAAGAAAGGCUGCAGUGUCACCAAGCACAACAUCAAAGCUGUGUUUCCUCGCCAGAGGCCACAAUGAAGCUGUGAGGGUCAGCUGUGGUGCCCCACCUCGUGCCAUCUGCAAACAUACCACAGUGAGUUGACUUUUCAGUUGUCACCGAACCUCUUCCAUGCAGUCGUUAAUCACUUCUCACUCCCCUUAGUUGGAGUAUCCUGUUUUUCCCUCAGGUCACACCAGACUGGAACAAAGGGAGGGUAUUUCUGGUGCUCUGGGUACACAGCAUUAACUUCUACAAGACCAAGAGUCACCAAGAGUCACCAACCCUGGAGGCACUUAAAAGACAUAUAGAUGAGGUUCUUAGGGACAUGGGUCAGUGCCAGAGUUAGGUUAUGGUUGGACUUGAUGAUCUUGGUCUCUUCCAACCAAAAUGAUUCUGUGACUCUAAGGUGAACCCCUGCCCUGGACACUCAGGGGACAGCACGAACUCGAGGAGGUUUCCUCCAGUCCCAGUCGUUUGAGGCACUUGAGCUUCACACCUGAACAUUCAUAUUCCUUCUCUCUCUCCUCUUUUAAAACUUACAGUAUUUUUCCUGUCUCACUGACCAAAAAAGUAUCAUGACCUGUGCUUUGUGUCCUGCACACUCUUGAUCUCAACAGCACCUUGUGACAGGGAGAUCCACAGGUGAGUACUCACACUAGGUCAAAAAGCAUUUCUUGCUCUCCAUUCUAAAUUCAACAUUUUUAAUUCAAUGCCUGUGAGUUGCCACAGAGAGGAUGCGCAGUACUCGCCAAAAUACCUUCUCUGUCCCAAAUCCACUUUACAAACUCUUACCUGCAGCUCCCCCCAAGCACAGACACUUUGCCAGGCACUUUUAAAGUCUUUAUUCACAUACCUCCUAAUAGAAACCUCAGGUUAUUCUCAUUGCCUAUAUUUGAACAGGCUCUAUUUUUAGUUUCCUAGUUUAAAAUGAAUAUGAGGACAUGCCUUUUAUAGACUGUAUGCUCUUGGUAACCGAGCAUAUCUUAAAUUAAUAACAGUAACAUAUACUUUGGAAUAAAACUUGUGUUACAUUUUAAACAACUGAGGCAGAGUGAUGACAUAAAAAGAACAGAUAAGAGUACAGUACCUUAAUAAAAUUUUGAAGGGCUAUGCCUCCAACAAGGAACCUGUGAGCUGUGUGCACAGAUAUGGCUCCACAUAAAGAGCAGAUCUGCUCAGAAAUGCGAUUGUGUAGGAUGAGGGCCUUUACUCAGCAGAUCUGCAUCUCACUGUCGGUACUAACGUUUUUCUUAUCGUAGCCAGGAAGGCAACCCCCGAGCCCAAGCUUCUCCUGCAUCCAACACAGCAUUUGAGCAAACCCCACCAGCAAAAUCCAGACUCCUGGAGUCAGGCUUCAGUUUCCAUCCUGAACAGAACACUUCUUUUUGUUCACAUUAUAAGCAUAUUUAUUCCACGAAUAUCAGCUACUUUUUCUUUUAAAGAAAAGGGCUCUGAUGUGUCUUUAACUCAUUCCUUGUUCAGAGGGGGAAAUGCAAACUGGGAAAGUAAACCCACCAUUUUCUCAAGGGGCAGGUGUGCAGCAGCGCUAUGGUAUGGUCUGCACUGGCAUACAGAAGUUAAUCUUCUGCAGCAGAGCCAAGCCAACGCCAUCAAAAUCAAUUUAAAAAUACCAGUCAUUGGCAGAAAGUGGGUUUGGAAUCAGCCUUUUAGUAGAGGAACUAGGCUGUCAUCCAGAAACUGUAUGUCAGCUAUAUGAAUUAUUGGCAAAAACCCCGUUUAUCUCUUCAUUCACUUGAUGCUAGGACUAUUCAAGAGUCAGAAAAACUGCCAUGACGAGAUCCGUUCCUGCACAAACGCCUCCCGCUCCAUGCACCUUGCUAGGAGCAUUGUCUCAGCCUUUGCCUCCAGCCGGAACACUGCUCCCUGUUCUGCAGCCACUAAUUUAGGGGGAAAUUGAGUGAAAAAAAGGUGCUUCUUGCUUUUCACCUGUCAGGCAAAGAAUCACAGGCUCAAUGUAACCAGCAGCCUCAGAAACUGCCCCAGGCCUGCGUCCUGACAGCUGCGCCCAUGGGAGCACCCGCAGCAGCAAGGCCCUGCAUGGGAACCAUGUCCUCACUGAGGAGAACCUCUAGAGAAACCGUCAUGACUGUCUUUACACAAGGAAAUAAAGGCACACCGCUACGAAAAGUCAUAGUGGGCAUUUGUUUUCAGGAGUGUCAUGGCCUCCACGUGAGGGAUUUGCGGACCCUGGGAGUUGUAAAGUCACUGUCCGAAGAGCGCGGGUGGCAGAAUGGGUUUACUCCAGUUCUGAGGAGAAAUGGAGAUGCAGUCAGAAAGAGCUGUCCUAGAAGCGUUAUGACUGCGUUCUUCUCAACAGAUGACAACUUCUAGAGCACUUGCUCAUGCCCGAAAAGAGAGGCAGGAGGAGGAGUGCAGGACUUGCUCUGGAAAGUCCAACCGAGGAGAAAAUGCUCUGCUCAUUGUGGGGGACUACGGUGGGCCCGUGGCUUCCCUGACAGAGGGUAUGGGAACAGAAAUUAGCCUUGAAGAUAUUAUGGCCUACCCGUGAGAAAGAUGGGAAUAAAGGAGUAUCUGGAGAUGUUAUGGAUGUACCUGUGAGAGAGAAGGGAGUAGAAGAAUAACAUUGAUGAUAGCAAAACCAGCCAAUGAUAUGUUACUGCUGUAACUUGUAACCAAUAAUGAAGAAACACAUUAAUUGGUAAAACUGUAUAAAAAUGCACUUGUGGCAAUAAAUGGAGACUGUUGUUUGUACGUAA